rnacentral:rRNA from 1 species
GCGAAACUGCGAAUGGCUCAUUAAAUCAGUUAUCGUUUAUUUGAUAGUACCUUACUACUUGGAUAACCGUGGUAAUUCUAGAGCUAAUACAUGCUAAAAACCCCGACUUACGAAGGGGUGUAUUUAUUAGAUUAAAAACCAAUGCCCUUCGGGGCUCUUUGGUGAUUCAUAAUAACUUUUCGAAUCGCAUGGCCUUGCGCCGGCGAUGGUUCAUUCAAAUUUCUGCCCUAUCAACUUUCGAUGGCAGGGUCUUGGCCUGCCAUGGUUACAACGGGUAACGGAGGGUUAGGGCUCGACCCCGGAGAAGGAGCCUGAGAAACGGCUACUACAUCCAAGGAAGGCAGCAGGCGCGCAAAUUACCCAAUCCCGAUUCGGGGAGGUAGUGACAAUAAAUACUGAUACAGGGCUCUUUUGGGUCUUGUAAUUGGAAUGAGUACAAUUUAAAUCCCUUAACGAGGAACAAUUGGAGGGCAAGUCUGGUGCCAGCAGCCGCGGUAAUUCCAGCUCCAAUAGCGUAUAUUAAAGUUGUUGCAGUUAAAAAGCUCGUAGUUGAACCUUGGGCCUGGCUGGCCGGUCCGCCUCACCGCGUGCACUGGUUCGGCCGGGCCUUUCCCUCUGGGGAACCCUAUGGUCUUCACUGAUCGUAGCGGGGAACCAGGACUUUUACUGUGAAAAAAUUAGAGUGUUCAAAGCAGGCAUAUGCUCGAAUACAUUAGCAUGGAAUAAUAAAAUAGGACGUGUGGUUCUAUUUUGUUGGUUUCUAGGACCGCCGUAAUGAUUAAUAGGGACAGUCGGGGGCAUCAGUAUUCAAUUGUCAGAGGUGAAAUUCUUGGAUUUAUUGAAGACUAACUACUGCGAAAGCAUUUGCCAAGGAUGUUUUCAUUAAUCAGGAACGAAAGUUAGGGGAUCGAAGACGAUCAGAUACCGUCGUAGUCUUAACCAUAAACUAUGCCGACUAGGGAUCGGACGGUGUUAUUUUUUGACCCGUUCGGCACCUUACGAGAAAUCAAA